UACGUAGGGGGCAAGCGUUGUCCGGAAUUAUUGGGCGUAAAGGGCGCGUAGGCGGUCAGCACAAGUCAGUUGUGAAAUCUCCGGGCUUAACUCGGAAAGGUCAACUGAUACUGUGCGACUAGAGUGCAGAAGGGGCAACUGGAAUUCUCGGUGUAGCGGUGAAAUGCGUAGAUAUCGAGAGGAACACCUGCGGCGAAGGCGGGUUUGCUGGGCUGACACUGACGCUGAUGCGCGAAAGCCAGGGAGCGAAGCGGG
rnacentral:rRNA from 1 species